ACCUAUUAAAGAUCAGCCCUGGAUCUGAGAAAAUCCGAGACAGACGCAAAGACAAGCACAAACAAGAGGAUGUGCUUUAUAUAGGAUCCUUGCCGGCCUUCAGCCCCCUCCCAAUUUUACUACAUGCCUAUCAACCCUGACAACAGUGUGGUCGGAAGAUGCAGACCCUGGAGCGGAUUGCACUCUUCUCCUGGGCAACAAGGAUCUGAGAAAUUUCUACAGGUUUCGCCAACGUUACCCGGAACACUAAAGAGAGUACGUCAGUAACUCAGUCGGCAUGUGACAGCAUUACAUCAGUAAGUUUACCGUCUGUGACUUCAAAAGACUCUAGGAAGAGAUCAUCGAGACGAACUAAAGCCAAGGAAUCCUGAAAAAGAAAUAGGGCGAGUUAAACAGCAAA